AACGCGAAGAACCUUACCUGGGCUCGAAAUGUUAUGGACCGUCUGUGAAAGCAGGCUUUCCCGCAAGGGACCGUAAUAUAGGUGCUGCAUGGCUGUCGUCAGCUCGUGUCGUGAGAUGUUGGGUUAAGUCCCGCAACGAGCGCAACCCUUGUCCUGUGUUGCUAACAUUCAGUUGAGCACUCGCAGGAGACCGCCAGGGAUAACCUGGAGGAAGGUGGGGAUGACGUCAAGUCCUCAUGGCCUUUAUGUCCAGGGCUACACACGUGCUACAAUGGACGGUACAAAGGGCUGCCAACCCGCGAGGGGGAGCCAAUCCCAAAAAACCGUUCUCAGUUCGGAUUGCAGGCUGCAACUCGCCUGCAUGAAGCUGGAAUCGCUAGUAAUGGUGGAUCAGAACGCCACCGUGAAUACGUUCCCGGGCCUUGUACACACCGCUAGUC
rnacentral:rRNA from 1 species